ACAUUGGUGGUUCAUGGUAGAAUUCUCACCUUUCACGUGGGAGGCCCAAGUUCAAUUUCUGGCCAAUGCA
rnacentral:tRNA from 1 species